rnacentral:rRNA from 1 species
UAGCUAGUUGGUGAGGUAACGGCCCACCAAGGCGACGAUCGGUAGCCGGACUGAGAGGUUGAACGGCCACAUUGGGACUGAGACACGGCCCAGACUCCUACGGGAGGCAGCAGUGGGGAAUAUUGCACAAUGGGGGAAACCCUGAUGCAGCGACGCCGCGUGGAGGAAGAAGGUCUUCGGAUUGUAAACUCCUGUUGUUGGGGAAGAUAAUGACGGUACCCAACAAGGAAGUGACGGCUAACUACGUGCCAGCAGCCGCGGUAAAACGUAGGUCACAAGCGUUGUCCGGAAUUACUGGGUGUAAAGGGAGCGCAGGCGGGAAGACAAGUUGGAAGUGAAAUCUAUGGGCUCAACCCAUAAACUGCUUUCAAAACUGUUUUUCUUGAGUAGUGCAGAGGUAGGCGGAAUUCCCGGUGUAGCGGUGGAAUGCGUAGAUAUCGGGAGGAACACCAGUGGCGAAGGCGGCCUACUGGGCACCAACUGACGCUGAGGCUCGAAAGUGUGGGUAGCAAACAGGAUUAGAUACCCUGGUAGUCCACACCGUAAACGAUGAUUACUAGGUGUUGGAGGAUUGACCCCUUCAGUGCCGCAGUUAACACAAUAAGUAAUCCACCUGGGGAGUACGACCGCAAGGUUGAAACUCAAAGGAAUUGACGGGGGCCCGCACAAGCAGUGGAGUAUGUGGUUUAAUUCGACGCAACGCGAAGAACCUUACCAAGUCUUGACAUCCCUUGACGAUGCUGGAAACAGUAUUUCUCUUCGGAGCAAGGAGACAGGUGGUGCAUGGUUGUCGUCAGCUCGUGUCGUGAGAUGUUGGGUUAAGUCCCGCAACGAGCGCAACCCUUAUGGUCAGUUACUACGCAAGAGGACUCUGGCCAGACUGCCGUUGACAAAACGGAGGAAGGUGGGGAUGACGUCAAAUCAUCAUGCCCUUUAUGACUUGGGCUACACACGUACUACAAUGGCGUUAAACAAAGAGAAGCAAGACCGCGAGGUGGAGCAAAACUCAGAAACAACGUCCCAGUUCGGACUGCAGGCUGCAACUCGCCUGCACGAAGUCGGAAUUGCUAGUAAUCGUGGAUCAGCAUGCCACGGUGAAUACGUUCCCGGGCCUUGUACACACCGCCCGUCACACCAUGAGAGCCGGGGGGACCCGAAGUCGGUAGUCUAACCGUAAGGAGGACGCCGCCGAAGGUAAAACUGGUGAUUGGGGUGAAGUCGUAACAAGGUAA